rnacentral:tRNA from 1 species
GCGAAAGUGGCGGAAUUGGUAGACGCGCUAGAUUUAGGUUCUAGUAUCGAAAGAUGUGAGAGUUCGAGUCUCUCCUUUCGCACCA